rnacentral:rRNA from 1 species
UGGGGGAUAUUGCACAAUGGGCGAAAGCCUGAUGCAGCGACGCCGUGUGGGGGUUGAAGGCUUUCGCGUUGUAAAUCUCUUUCGCAAUCGAACAAGGCCCGCUUAGGGUGGGUUGAGGGUAGGUGGAGAAGAAGCGCCGGCUAACUAUGUGCCCGCAGCCGCGGUAAUACGUAGGGCGCGAGCGUUGUCCGGAAUUAUUGGGCGUAAAGGGCUUGUAGGCGGCUUGUUGCGCCUGCUGUGAAAACGCGGGGCUUAACUUCGCGCGUGCAGUGGGUACGGGAAGGGGUGAGUGUGGUAGGGGUGAAAGGAAUUCCGGGUGUAACAGGGGAAUGCGCAGAUAUCUGGGGGAACACCGAUGGCGAAGGCAGGUCACUGGGCCAUUACUGACGCUGAAGAGCGAAAGCAUGGGUAGCGAACAGG